rnacentral:rRNA from 1 species
GACGAACGCUGGCGGCGUGCCUAAUACAUGCAAGUUGAGCGCUGAAGGUUGGUACUUGUACCAACUGGAUGAGCAGCGAACGGGUGAGUAACGCGUGGGGAAUCUGCCUUUGAGCGGGGGACAACAUUUGGAAACGAAUGCUAAUACCGCAUAAAAACUUUAAACACAAGUUUUAAGUUUGAAAGAUGCAAUUGCAUCACUCAAAGAUGAUCCCGCGUUGUAUUAGCUAGUUGGUGAGGUAAAGGCUCACCAAGGCGAUGAUACAUAGCCGACCUGAGAGGGUGAUCGGCCACAUUGGGACUGAGACACGGCCCAAACUCCUACGGGAGGCAGCAGUAGGGAAUGUUCGGCAAUGGACGAAAGUCUGACCGAGCAACGCCGCGUGAGUGAAGAAGGUUUUCGGAUCGUAAAACUCUGUUGGUAGAGAAGAACGUUGGUGAGAGUGGAAAGCUCAUCAAGUGACGGUAACUACACAGAAAGGGACGGCUAACUACGUG